UGUGUUUCAUGACAGACAGGAUAAGAUGGGAGACCUGAAGGCAGAUGUGUGGCGGAGUUCUCCAGCAUGAGGCUGCUGUGCCUCUCGGAGUUCCCUCAGCCUUCUGACGUGGGAUGUUUUGGCACUCGUCUGCUGGCUUUUGGGCACUGGGUUGAGCGAGCGUGGCAUCCACUUGGAGUGGAUUUGCAAAUGGAAACUUGGCACAGCCACCUAAGUGGGAAACCAAGUGAAGACACAACACCCCGCUCCCCAAACCUGUAUGGACAAAACCCAUCACAAAAGGCACCAUCCAAGACGUAAACGUUUAAAUGCACACGUUGGAGGUGAUGGUCUCAUAGCAUGCUCCACACAGAGAGGAGAAGAUGAGUGAAGUGCUGGUGGAGGAGCCAGAUGGGAGAGGAAGAACGGCAGGCCAGGAGCAAGAAGGGACCCAAUGCUGGGUUGGAACCACCAGAAAGAGGAAGGGCUGUGAGCUGAACGCGGGCUGACCUGCACCAAGGAAGGGAAAGAAGCGGCGCAGUGCAGCGUUCCCCGGUGCCAGCGAGCUCUGUUGGCAGUGGGAUGUUGGGGAGAGGACGGUGAGAUCUCAGGGGUGUGCAGAUAUCAGCUGGCGUUGCCUCAGCCUUGGCUGCUGCAGCCUGAUCCCAAGGCUUGGCCUGAACCCUGCUGGAGGAUCCGAGUUCAGCCCAAAAGCACCGGGAGGAAGUACCAGAACUGUUCCCAGGCCACCCCUGCACCACGGCAGUGCCUGCAGCAGUGGGGGCUGGCCUGGCUCUCCAGCAUGGCGUUGUGCUUUGGGGGAAAGUUUCUGCAUCCCACUGCCGUAGGUGUGCUGGAGGCUGCAGCAAUCACAAGGAGGACUUAAUGAUCUUACGGGUCUCCUGCAACUGAAACAACUCUAUAACUCUGUGACUUCCCAGCACGUGCAUAUGGGGCUGCCAAGGGGCUGCUCAUGCUUGCAGGCACCAGGGGAGGUUGCAGGGGUUCCACAGGUUCAGCACAUCCAGAUUUCACCGGAGACCUGCCUUGGUUUGAGCAAAAGGACAGCUUGGCCCUUUCAGUAAGAAGUUACAGGCAUCUCCAGCGAGUUCUGUUCCUCACAGCCAUCUCCUCUCCGAUGCGAUAUGGGUUGGACACAUCCCUGCCAGGGUCCAGCCCCACUGCCCUGCCCCAGGGCAAAACGGUUUGGCUGGAGGAGUGUGGCUGCUCCUGGGGCUGGGGGAGUGGGGCUGCCCGAAGGAGCCCGGGGUGACGCUGGGGGAGAACGCUGCCCUGCGCACUAUGGGGGGUAGGAAGGCACAGGGACACAGCAUCCUGGGGCGCAGCCCCUGAACGAACAAGGCGGGCCUGGGGAGCCCCUUCCCGCUGCCCUGUGCCGGGGUGCCCCAGUUUGACGUUCCCCCCAUCCCGGCCCCGCCACGGGGCUCAGCCCAGCCCACGUCCUGCCUGGCUCCAAGCUGCCCCGUGGUUCUGCUCUCCUCCUCUGAAUUGUAUUUAUUUAUUUAUAUGGAGAUGUAAUAAAACUCCAGCAGGAAACGGAGGCGAUUCCCUGCCAUUCCCCACAAGCCGGCCCUGGGACGGGCUGAACAAGGAGGCACAUUGUGCAGCGCAGACCCGCCUGCCAGCGCCGGGCUGUGUGCGGGGCUGAGGGGCCCGGGCCAGGCAAAGAAAGAGCCGAGUGUGUGCCUGCGCCGGGCCGGUGCCGACACCGGCGUGCCGGGAGCACCGCGGGGCUGUGGGAUGGGGCAGCCUGGGGCUGAGCUCCGUUUUGGCACCGCAGGUGGGUUGCAGGCAUGCCGGAGCGGGCAGG
ensembl:lncRNA